rnacentral:tRNA from 1 species
GCGGGAAUAGCUCAAUUGGUAGAGCAUCAGCCUUCCAAGCUGAAUGUUGCGGGUUCGAGUCCCGUUUCCCGCUCAA